CGAGUUUGAUCCUAGCUCAGAAUGAACGCUAGAAAUAUACAUUACACAUGCAAAUUUAUGAUUAUAUCAUAGUGAAUAGGUGAGGAUAUAUAAAUUUUUAAUUUUAAAUAGAUUAUAAUAUAUAAUAAUCUAUAAGCGCAUUUAUUUAUAAAUUGUACUAUAUUAAAAAUAAUUAUUGUUUAAAAUAAAAUUUAUAUUUGAUUAACUAGUUGGUAAAAUAAAGGCUUACCAAGGUUAUGAUCAAAAAUUGGUUUUAAAGAACGUACAAUCACAUUAGGAUUGAAAUAAAGCCUAAAUUUUUUUUUAAAUCAGCAGUGAGGAAUAUUUUACAAUAAGCGUAAGCUUGAUAAAGUAAUAUUUCUUAAAGGAUGACAGUAUAUUUUUAUAUUGUAAACUUUAUAUUUUAUUUUUAAAUAUUGAUAAAAAUAAAACAUUAGUAUUUGCUAAUUUCUGUGCCAGCAGCAGCGGUAAUACAGAAAAUACAAGCGUUAUUCACUUUAUUUGGCGUAAAGCGUUUUAAGGUUUUAUAUUAAUUUUAUUUUAAAAUAUUUAAUUUAAAUUUAAAUAAAAAAUAAAUAAUAAUAUAAUAAGAGUAUUAUAAAAGUAUUAAGAAUUUUUUGAGAAGUAGUGAAAUGCAAUUAUACAAAAAAGAAUACCAAAGGCGAAAGCAUAAUACUAUAUAAUAACUGACACUUAUAAACGAAAGCUAAGGUAGCAAAUAGGAUUAGAUACCCUAGUAGUCUUAGCUGUAAACUAUGAAUAUUUUAUAUUUAUAUAUUAAUAUAAAUAUAAUAACUAACGUAAUAAAUAUUCCGCCUGAGUAGUAUAUUCGCAAGAACGAAAUUCAAAGGAAUUGACGGGAGCUUAUACAAGUGGUGGAACAUGUGGCUUAAUUCGAUGCAACACGAUAAACCUUACCAAAAUUUAACAAUAUUUUUAAUAUUAAGUAAUUAAUAGUUUAAUAAAAUAUAUAGGUAGUGCAUGGCUGUCGUCAGUUCGUGCUGUGAAGUAUUAAUUUAAGUAUUAUAACGAACGCAACCUUUUGUAAAAUAAAUUUUUAUAAUAUAUUUAUUAAAUAUAUAAAAAAGAUUACGUCAAGUCAUUAUGCUCCUUAUAUUUUGGGCUGCUCACGUGUUACAUAAAAUAUAACAAUGUUCUAUUAUAUGAAAAUAUAAUAUAUUUAAAUAUAUUUAUAGUUCUAAUUAUAAAUUGAAACUCAUUUAUAUGAGGAUGGAAUCACUAGUAAUCGCUAAUAAGAAAUGUAGCGGUGAAUAAGUUCUUAAGCUUUGUACACACCGCCCGUCACAUCUGGAAAAUAUUAUAUUAUAUAAAAAUUAUUGUAAAAUAAUAAUAUAUAAUUAUAUAAUUUAGAUGAAGUCGUAACAAGGUAGCCGUACUGGAAGGUGCGGCUG
rnacentral:rRNA from 1 species